UGAUAUUCCUGUACUACCGAUAACCGUUUGAGAGAAGGGAUGACACAGUAGGAUAAGCUAAGCACACUGUUGGUUAUGUGUGCCCAAGCAUUGAGGCGGUCAAAGUAGGCAAAUCCGCUUUGAUAAUGCUGGGAUGUGAUGGGGAGCGAAAUUUAGUAGCGAAGUAGCUGAUUUCACACUGUCAAGAAAAGUCUCUAUCGAGGUUAAAGGUACCCGUACCGCAAACCGACACAGGUGGGUGAGGAGAGUAUCCUAAGGCCAGCGAGAGAACUGUUGUUAAGGAACUCGGCAAAA
rnacentral:rRNA from 1 species